CAGAGGUCAGACUCAUUUUAUAAAUAAUGAAUCUAUCCAACCCGCUUCAUACUCGUAUCAUAUUUCACAAAUCAACUGAGUUACGAUUUGUGCGUUGCGGACGAUUCUUAUUACGGGCAACCAAUCAACGACGACUGCGAGGUCAAAUUUAUCAAAUUUAUUGUCGAAUUCGACGAGCAAACAGUGGCUCGUUCAAUCAGUAUACACAUUCCAUCACCGGCGAUAAUUAUUCAACUCCCACUAAUCUGGUGUUAAGGUGCGCCAAAAAUAUCAGCGCUUGAAAGCUGAUUACCAGACAUUCAAGCGACUCCAGGCACAAACUGGUCUGGGAUGGGAUCCUAUUAUAGGCACUGUUGUUGCACCCAAUGAAUUUUGGGAUAAGGUUUUCCAUUAAUCUGUACUAUUUUCUAAUUUUAUUUUAAACAUUUCAUGAUAUAUACAAUGCUUAAUUCUU